AUUCCAGUACUCUCUGGCUCGUCCGCAAGCCCUCGAGAUUCCCAUCUCUUUUCUCAUUAUCAAAGUCGAUCAGUGUACAAAUCUCCUGAAGAUGGAGAGGAGGCACUCAUCAAAUGGAACAAGGGCGUUGACCACCGAUGGUGGUGAGGUGAAGUCGAUGGUGGGGGCUGAAUUCGAGGUAUUCUUGAAUUUUAGAGGUCUCGAUACUCGACAGAAUUUUGCCGACUGUCUCUAUCACUCAAUGGACGGAGCUGGGAUUCGUGUUUUCAGAGACGAGGAAGAGAUCAAAAGAGGGGAAACAAUUGGAGGUGAACUGGAGCGCGUGAUCAAGAGUUCCACAAUCUGUAUGCCUAUCUUUUCAAGAAACUAUGCGUCCAAUCCAGACGAUGUCAAGCUCAAAACGGGACUAUAUCUCGACGCGUUGCAUAAGCACGAGCAGAAAUUUGGCUGUGCUGUUGCGCACCGAUGGAAGGAGGCGCUGAGAGAGGUCGCUCAUAUCAAAGGAUGGGAUUUGAAAGAAAAGGGGUAAGGGAACAGGGAACAUCAUAGCACUCAAACUAACUGGACUUUCCCAAGAUCACAACUUUACAAGGGAAGAGUUUUUGAGGCUGCCCAACUUAAGGUUUUUGGAGUUAGAGGGGGGAACAUGGUAGGAAACUUUAAGAAUCUUCUCUCGAGUUUAAGAUGGCUCUCUUGGCAUCGUUGUCCUUCAAACUUGCAGGCAGUCAAUCUAUAUUUAUGGAACUUAGUCGUGCUGAAGCUUUUGGACAGCGACAUUCCAGAAAAUUGGAAUGGAUGGAGCCCAAGCUUGGCGAACUGUAACUUGAAAGUAAUACAUCUCAUAAGAUGCCAUCUCUCGACAUUUCCUGACUUCUCGAUGUGCUUGGAUUUGAAGAUACUGGUUGUUAAUGAACAUUGUCCAAAGUCCCUACAAUCUGGUAGCUCUAUCAGUAAGCUAGAGCAUCUAAAGCGCUUGGAAAUAAUCGCAGACCAAGUUCAGCUGUCAAAGUUGUCCGCAAGCCUCCAUUUUGACAUGUUCUUUGUGCCUUUUGCCAUAUGCGGUCUAAAGCGCUUGUCAAGUCUAAAGUUAGAGGGACAGUGUAUACAGGGGCUUCAUUCAUCUAUUGGAGAGAUCGUGGGCUUGACAAGCUUGUCUUUAAAGGGUUGUCAUCGGCUUAGAAAGCUUCCAGAUU